UGGGCAAUCGCCAAACGGUAAGGCAGCGGACUCUGAAUCCGCAAUUUGUAGGUUCGAACCCUACUUGCCCAAUCA
rnacentral:tRNA from 1 species